UUCGCAAUGCCCGAAAGGGUGACGAAGCGACGCCGCGUGAGCGAAGAAGGCCCUAGGGUUGUAAAGCCCUGUCAGGAGUUAAGAAAUGUAAGUGCGCUAAUAUCGCAUUUACUUGACGAAGGCUCCAAAGGAAGCCACGGCUAACUCUGUGCCAGCAGCCGCGGUAAUACAGAGGCGGCAAGCGUUGUUCGGAAUUAUUGGGCGUAAAGAGCACGUAGGCGGCCUUGCAAGUCAGUUGUGAAAGCCUUCCGCUCAACGGAAGAAUGCCAGCUGAUACUACAGGGCUUGAGUACGGGAGGGGAGAGUGGAACUUCUGGUGGAGCGGUGAAAUGCGUAGAUAUCAGAAGGAACGUCGGCGGCGAAAGCGACUCUCUGGCCUAUUACUGACACUGAGUGUGCGAAAGUUAGGGGAGCAAACGGGAUUAGAUACCCCGGUAGUCCUAACUGUAAACGAUGGGCACUAAGUAGAGGGGUUUU
rnacentral:rRNA from 1 species